UACGUAGGGGGCAAGCGUUGUCCGGAUUUAUUGGGCGUAAAGCGCGUGUAGGCGGCCAUGUAGGUCUGACGUGAAAUCCCGAGGCUCAACCUCGGCAGGUCGUUGGAAACCAUAUGGCUAGAGUCCGGAAGAGGAGAGUGGAAUUCCUGGUGUAGCGGUGAAAUGCGCAGAUAUCAGGAAGAACACCGAUGGCGAAGGCAGCUCUGGCG
rnacentral:rRNA from 1 species